GGGAUUCCAAUGGCAGGCAGGAAAUCUUGUAGUAGGUGAUCGUGGCCUUCCUUGGGAUCCCUGUUUCCCCCUUUUAUUCCCUUUUCACCCAGUAAAACCCUGCUUUGCUCACUCUUUAAAGCAUCUGUGAGCGUAAAUUUUUGUGGCCAUGGGAUGGACAAGAACCACAUGUUUACCUGAAGUCCUGUGACAUUUUGGUGUGCAGCAUGGGAGCUCCAAAAGUGACAUUCUUUCAGAUGCCAGAGGAUGCUAUAGAAAAAUGCGUGCCCUCUUGUAAUACUUUGUUCAAGUUCUGAUCAGAAGGAUGAAUGAUGGAGCCCAAGAAGCCAGAGUCUCAUUGUGUUGCUCAGGCUGGAAUCCAGUGGCAUGAUCUCGGCUCAGUGCAACCUCCGCCUCCUGGGUUCAAGCAGUUCUCCUAGAUCAGCAUCAGCGUCCCGAGUAGCUGGGAUUACAGGCACCCGCCACCAUGCCUGGCUAAUGUUGGUCAGGCUGGCUCGAACUCCUGACCUCAAGAGAUCCACCUGCUUUGGCCUCCCAAAGUGCUCGGAUUACAGGCAUGAGCUGCCACACCCAGCCUCCAAAUACUUUUUUUUUAAAUCAAAAUAAUGAUUUCAAUGACUGAGAUCUGUUAUGUAUUUCAACAUAAUCAUGUUUCAUAAAGAUUUAGUCUUCUGAAA
rnacentral:lncRNA from 1 species